rnacentral:rRNA from 1 species
AAUUGGAUGCAACGCGAAGAACCUUACCUGGUCUUGACAUAUCUAGAAUCCUGCAGAGAUGCGGGAGUGCCUUCGGGAAUUAGAAUACAGGUGCUGCAUGGCUGUCGUCAGCUCGUGUCGUGAGAUGUUGGGUUAAGUCCCGCAACGAGCGCAACCCUUGUCCUUAGUUACCAGCGGGUUAAGCCCGCAACUCUAAGGAUACUGCCAGUGACAAACUGGAGGAAGGCGGGGACGACGUCAAGUCAUCAUGGCCCUUACGACCAGGGCUACACACGUGCUACAAUGGUAGGUACAGAGGGCAGCUACACAGCGAUGUGAUGCGAAUCUCAAAAAGCCUAUCGUAGUCCAGAUUGGAGUCUGCAACUCGACUCCAUGAAGUAGGAAUCGCUAGUAAUCGCGGAUCAGAAUGCCGCGGUGAAUACGUUCCCGGGCCUUGUACACACCGCCCGUCACACCAUGGGAGUUGAUUGCACCAGAAGUGGAUAGCUUAACCUUCGGGGAGGCGUUCACCACGGUGUGGUUGAUGACUGGGGUGAAGUCGUAACAAGGUA